CCUAUGCGGGUCAUUCACAGAUUAAGGAACCUGGCAAAACCAUAUCCUCUGUCACCUCAUCGGGGUCGACCCCUGGUGGGACGAAGAGCACGGUCCGGGCGAAUCGAGCUGCGUCAGAGGUUGACGGUUUGGCAGCCUUUGAAGCAGAGACAUGAGGUGUUGGGAUGGGGUUAGGAGAUUUGAGGGUAGAGUAAUUGAAAGAGAAGGUAGGUGGGAGAGGUUUUCUAGAAGGUAAAGGAGAAGAUGGAAGUGAUAAAAUGAUGAAUAGGCGGUUUCGAAGUAGCAUUCUGCUCGAGUGUGUCAAUGGCAGAGCUCA
rnacentral:misc_RNA from 1 species